UCCGUAAUUGCCCUCUUAGCAGAGGACUGUUG
rnacentral:piRNA from 1 species